rnacentral:rRNA from 1 species
AACUUUGCAAUGUGCGAAAGCACGACAAGGUUAACUCCGAGUGGUUUCUGCUAAAGAAACCUUUUGCUAGCUCCUAGAAACACUAGUGAAUAAGGGGUGGGCAAGUUCUGGUGUCAGCCGCCGCGGUAAAACCASCACCUCAAGUGGUCAGGAUGAUUAUUGGGCCUAAAGCAUCCGUAGCUCGUUUUGUAAGUUUUCGGUUAAAUCCAUACGCUUAACGUAUGGGCUGCCGGGAAUACUGCAUAACUAGGAAGUGGGAGAGGUAGACGGUACUCGGUAGGAAGGGGUAAAAUCCUUUGAUCUAUUGAUGACCACCUGUGGCGAAGGCGGUCUACCAGAACACGUUCGACGGUGAGGGAUGAAAGCUGGGGGAGCAAACCGGAUUAGAUACCCGGGUAGUCCCAGCUGUAAACUAUGCAAACUCAGUGAUGCAUUGGCUUGUGGCCAAUGCAGUGCUGCAGGGAAGCCGUUAAGUUUGCCGCCUGGAAGUACGUACGCAAGUAUGAAACUUAA